AUACAGCAUUUACUAGUACUGUAGAGGUUAAAGGUUAAAAUUAUCUACAAAACAAGUAGUGAUUGGUUGUUUAGGGUUCAGCAUAGUAAUUUUCACUAAUGUAGCGGGAGUUUAAUUGAUCAGCUGACUGUACGAUUGCUAGUGAAAGGGGCAGGACUGUUUUCUGUAGGGAGCCCUGUUGUUCCAUCCUGGGGCCUUAGACUAACUUAGAGAUGUUGUGCAGCAUUUAGAAGUACAUGUCUUACUAACCAGCACAGUACCGCCAUGAAUGAGUAAGCCAGUGUUGUAAAGUGGAGACAUUCAUCUCUUAGAUGAAGGUCAAGAUCUCAUGUUUAUGAGAUUGUGCAUUUACCAGUUUACUAGAUUACACCUUUAAGGAGUUACUGGUUCACUAAUCUACAUUACCAUUUAGAGACUGAUGAAAGGAUGUAAAGAAGUAGCUAAAUAAAUAAAGUAACUUUAAAUUUGUAACAGUGUUGUGGUUACAAAGGAAAAAGAAGUCACUUGAAAGCCUAUUUAGCUGCAAAUAGUAUAUUUUGAAAUAACAUUUACAACAAGAGUGAUUAUUCAUUUUGUUAGACACUAUCUAAGUACAUACCCUGUGAGGGAUUUUUGGCACACUUCUAACUGUUCCAGAAGAUGAGGCAACAACUGCCCCAUGGUUUCAUCAGCUACACAGCAUUGCACAACAUUGGGCAUCUCAUGAGCUCUCACCAUAAUCUUAACCCAUGACUUGUCGAUGUUCUGAAAUCUCUUUGCUUCCUGCAAACAGUCAACAGUUAACCAAAUGCAUUAAAUUUCAAUUUCAUUUUUUGUUAUCCGCCAAUUUUAAAUUGUAACCAGGGUUCAUACAGAUCUUGGAUACAAGAAUUCCAUGACUUUUCCAUGACAUUGCCUGGUUUUCCAUGAUGCAAUCCAAACAUACGACAGUGAUUGUUUUUGCCCUUUUGGGAAAAGGUCCAGUACCGGAUAAAUUGGGAAAAAUAGCGGGGUUUUUACUCAGAUUGGGAAUUUUUAUAGUUAAUUAAUAACAUCAUUUAGAAUGCUUCUUCCUUUAAUUC
rnacentral:lncRNA from 1 species